rnacentral:lncRNA from 1 species
UGCAUUAAAUUAUAUAGAUUGCAGAUGAGAAUCACGAGGGAUUUGGUACCUUAAAAACAUGCAUGUUUCUCGCACCUUUCUCCCCUUUCUCAAAUCUUAUACCUAUAUACGAAAACCCUUCUCCUUCCCCUACAUAGUGUGAGCCUUAAUUUACAGCAAAAGGGUAAGAAAGCCCCUUGUUUACUCCAUUUUUCGGCUUAUUGUUUCUCUGGUAUGUUGGUUUGAGAGGUUGAAGCUGCCAGCAUGAUCUGGUAAUGGACCUAGCUAUCGCCCUUUUUUUAUUUUUGUAUUCUUAGGCCUCUUUUAUAGUUUUUGUACAGGUAUGUUAAGUUAGAUUGUUUAUGACCGGUUUUAGAUCAAAAUUCUUUUGAGUCCAAGAUGAGUUUUUUUUUUUCUUUCAGGAGAAGUUUAUCAAUCAUUUGGUUAAGGGCUUUUAGAGUCUUAGAUUACCAGGCAACUUAGAUGUGUUUAUAAAGAACCCUGCCUGUACUUAAGCUUCAUAGGUUGUCGGUUCAUACUAUCAGAUCAUCUUGCAGCUUCAAUCACUCACUCACCAACAAAAGAACUUUCUUACUACCUACAUAUCAUAUGGAUACUUGAGAUUUUUGCUCUUUAAGUAAUUAAGACCUUCAUUUCCAGGUAAUUCCUCUAUGCUUGGCUCAAAGCUUUUUCAUUUCUUGAUGAAGUUUUCCUGAUAUAUUGAUUUUCUGAGAAAUUGCAGUCAUCUGCAUAUCUCCUCUCUCUCUCUUUACUGCUUGCAUACAUUUAUUCAGACACUUGAUACAUGAAGCCAUAUGUAUAUGAUGAACUUUCAACUUCAUCCUGGUGCUUGUUUGACCUCUUAUUAUAUACCUUAUAAGAUAAUUAUUUUUUAUUUUCCAAGGAAGAAAAGAUAAUGUUGACUAUGCACAGUUUUCAUGAGCUGUUUGCAUGCCUGUGUGUGCAACUUUGUCUUCACUUCCUUGGUGGUAUCCAUAAUCAUAAAGUAAAACAAAAUCCCAUUACACAAGAAAAACAUGAUUGAUAAUCAGAUUGAUGCACAGUACUAUUUUAUAAUACUGUGAUAUAUUGGUGUAUCACCCCAAUUACAUAUUGCAAACUAUAUAUAUACAUGGGAUUCUUGAAAUUUGAUGCCCCUUAUAAUUUACCACAAUGUUUAUUUCAUACUGCUGCUUGGGGAGUUGAGCUUGAUUUCAGUGAGGAGACAAAAAUAACUGUGAUUUGGUUGCCUCAGUUGCCUCCCUCCCAACACACUGUUAGGGGACCAAUUUGAUGUUUUCAUGACCCACCAAUUUGAAUGCACACUUUCAGUAUAGUAAUAACCAUUUCACUGGGAGCUGAUGAAUUCUAUAUAUGUACAGCAAAUAAUGCAUUGAAUUGAAAGUUGUGUAUUUAUAUGCCAUACGAUCAGAAAUAAUGGCAUAUUAAUAUUAUUGGUGACACACAGCUAGUCAUGCAAUUUAUGGUUCAUGAAUGUUUGAAUAAACACGAUAGCAUGUGAAAUGAAAUGAUUGUGUGUAUAUUUUCUUCCAUUUUUGUUUUAUCUUUAGACACAUAAUUACUGUAGGAAAGCGUAAACUAGACUCAUGUCUUCGUUACAGAACCAGUUCAUGUUUGCAUCUAGCUGGUUCUUACAAAUCUUUAGUCUCGUUCAUGAAUUUGUUUCUCAAAAUCCCAGAUUUAAUCUUGGUGUAUUAUAUUUUUAUAUAUUAAACAAUAAUCAGCUUGGACGGUUGGUAUUAACUUGGACUUACUGGCAAAAAAGGAGAUAGUUACUUUCAGCAUUUAAGUUUUGAACAGCUGAUAUCAUCUGCUAUGGUCUUUUUUUUUAGUACAUGAUCUUGGGACAGCGCAGUUGGUGGCCUUUUAAUUUGUGGAUCGACAAAAUCUUUAAUGUAGACAGUCAUGUCCUUAUAAGUUUUGGUUAUAGUUUGUUUCAUAUGAAAAUUUUAUUCAAAUUGAAAAAAAAAAAAAACCCUACUCAUAUCUCCAAUGGUUUCUCUUUCUAGUUACCAUUUCUUUUUUGGGGAUUUUCAGGGGUCAGCAUCUAGCCUAGGACUCAACCCUUUUCAUUUUCAUUACAUUAGGAUAUGUGUGUGUGUGUGUGUGUGUAGCAAUGUAUCCGACUCAUUGAUCGGCUGCAUGCAAUGAAUUAUGUUUGACAUCGUGAUCUGAUAACUGAACUUUCAGGGUUUUAUUUUGGUAAGGUCUGAAGUACAAGAACUGUAUCCACAGUUCCAAAAGCUUCUUAAAAUAACCCUGAGAGGCUAGUUUUGCUUAAUCUAAUAAACCCAAACAUUUUUUUUUGUGUUUUCUCAUCUUUCCUGUGGAUUUGAGAUAAAAUAAUUUACUGACUGCUCCAAUAUGUAAAUGUAUAUAUACAUGAAUAGUAUUUGCUUUCAUUUUCCAUUAAUGGUUUUCUUUUGUUCUAAUUAACUUAAUUUGAUUUCGAUGAUGGACCGGCAGCUACUAGCAAAAGUAGAUUCAGAGGGUUUUAAUUUUAGAAUAAAUGAUUCUGUGUGAUCUUUAUUUCCCUAGCUAGUACGUGCACGAAAGGUUAUAACUAGUGUAGUUUUUAAGUAAAUUAAACAGUAUAAUUAGUAUUAUCAUCAAUCAUAAUUAUCAAUUAUUUGAUUUUAUAAAUUAAUUUGUAAUGUUUUCAAUUAUUUUUCAUAAUUAGAUUACCAAUUAUUUGCUAAAUCUUUUUAAAAAUAAUUCUAUACUUACGUUUUAAGGUUUUUUUUAUAUUAAAUAUUUUGUAAUUUUAAAAUACAUGACCACUUCAAUUACAAGAAAAUUAUUCCACUUUUGGAAAGCAAUAAUGCUUAUAUAAUAAUGUUUAUGUCAUUUCAUCAGUUAAACCUACCCCACUCUCUGCAGCUGUUUUAGAUUCUUUCUCAUGUUAUGCUGGAAAGAUCCUUAUCCAUCAAAUCCAUAUAUGUAUUGUGUGUUUUAUUGUGUAUGGAAUAUUUUCAGAUCCUUCUGCACUGCUGCAUGAACUUGAGAAUGUCAUUUCCAAGAUUAUUGAUGAUAGUAAUUAUUGUUUUCCAAAUAAUAAUUUCUUUUCUCACAAGAUAUGAAGGUUUGGAAAAGCUUCUGAAAUCAUCGUAACUAUAUAUUACAUGUCUAGACAUAUACUAUGAAACUAAAAUUAGUUUUGAAGAUUUUUCUUCUUUAAGGAAAUUUAAAUUUAUUGUUUUUUCUUUGUCGUCAUUAUUACUUUAAUAUGCAUAUGAUUAGAAGAGAUAAGCAUUGACAUAAACAUUUUCUUAAAGCUAAAUAUAAUUAAAAGCUUCUUUUUAUUUUAGAAAAUCACAACUUAGAAGGAUAAAAAAUGCUUACUGGCUCCGAAUCCAGACUUUUCGAAUGAUGUAUCUUAAUGAUUUCUUUAUGAACCUUGAUUUUCCAAAUAAUGUAUAAACCAUCUUGUAAACCAUGCAUCAGAAUUUUGAGCAAUUCUAUUACAGAAGUAAUGUGAACCCCAGUUACUGCAAUGGUUUUUAUUAGUUCAGGCAAGGAAGAAAAAAGAAUCUUGAUCUUUGUAACCCUGAGUUCAACCUUUGUAAUAAGUGGUUUGAUGCAAUAGUAAGGCAUAGAUUCGAACUUUGGAGACAACAUUGUUAGGAGGAACAGCUACGAACUAGAACGAACCUAAAUAAUACCAAAAAUUUAUGAAUGCAUUCAGACAAGACCAUACCUGAAAAUACCCUGACUAAAUUUUAUCAUAACAAAGAGGAAUGGGGAACCCAAGUGCUAUCACCAAGUUGUAGAUUCAUCAAAAACAUAUUGUUUCUUUCAUUCUUGAUAGCUGUCCAUACUCCCACUUUCGGAGUGCUUUAUGGUACACCAAUUCGACACAGUAACAUGAAUCAAAGAAAUAUAUAGCCAAGGUGCUACUACCGCCUAACCAUUAUUUCUUUUUUCCCACUAAGACCGUAUAAUGCAUACAUGUAAACCUAGCAUGGUGUUAGGGGGAAAAUGACAUAAUUCCCCCAGGUAACCUCGAACUCCUUCAUGCGGUCCGAUACUUACAGUUUUCUUUCAUACAUAUAAUAAUCAGGAAGGCAAACAAAUUUUAAGCAACAGAAAUAAUUGUGUGACCUGAUUUUGAUAGGAUGAUAUAUCUCCAAGCAAAUUGCCUCUACUCCAUUAUUCUCACUUCAAGUCUUUGAUGCUACAGAAUAUUUUCUUCGUUUUGGUUCCGGCUCUCCUAACUGCAGUGAGACAUAAAUCUCCUCAUCUGAUCCAUUCCUUAAUGCUGAAAGAUUUCUAGAUUCCACAUUUCCAUUUCCCUGUUGGUUAUUAACGGGAGACCUUCCGUUGGAAC